CUCGGGGGCGCCUGUUCGCCCCCAGGAGCGAGCCGCGGGGCAGGAAAGAAAAGCCCCGUCGGCCUGCGGUUCCGUGGCGGGGAGACAAAGGCGACAACAAAUGACAAGUAAACACCCAGCCACAGGAAGCCAUUAAGGAGAGUGGGCGCUAAUGAGCGCGCCGCGGGGGCCCCGACCCGCCCGGAGCCCCGCUGGCAGGCCGUAAACCUGCUGGGCCCCUCUGUCCCCCGCGGUCGUGCCAUCAGAAGCCGCAAUUACUGGCUUGGCAGUAAGAAGACUCCAGGGGCCGAGAGAAAACCGGGAUUCUGUGAUCUCGCACAUUCUCACGUCUGCCGUUCAGCGGCCGCGUGCGAGCGCCAAGAUGUGGCGUGGCGGUGUAGACAUUGGUGAAGUUGAAGGAGACAACAGCAGAUCAUCUCCGAUGAUCCUAAAAGAAACUUGGGUGCGUGGCCCUCUGUCCCCUGGAGGCGUUCUGUCUUCUGACUUGAGUCUUGCCGCCUCUUUCGGUUUGCCUUUGUCGGUGAAAAUUAAUUCAAAUAUAUUCUCAUGGUUAAAUUUCCUGUGUUGUGCCUGGGUGUUGAGUUAGAAUUCCUUGAACUAAGCUUUAAUAAUGCUAUCACUCUAUUGCAUUGGUUUUAACUGGAAACACAGGAAUUUGGACUGGAAUAUAUAUAUGUUCUCUGCAUAGCUUAUUCAUUAUUUUUAGUUUUAAACCUAACAUCUCUGAUCCUAAAACUAAAACCUCUCUAUAAAAUGAGUUGGAUUAGAGGGUGCCUUCAGUGCCUUCUGAAUCUAAAAUUUUAGAUUCCUUCGUAAUUUUGCUGUAAAAUAUCACAUUAACAUACGGGCAUGGGUUUUUUGUUUGUUUGUUUUUAAAUCACAUUUUUCAGAAGGCUUAAAGUAAAAAGCAAUUGACCCCUCUUCUGUCCAAUUCACCCCAAGCCGGCUUCACAGAAAUUUCAACUUGACCCACUUCCGUUGGUAAUUAUGUUUGAAUAAACCUAGUCCCAAAGAGAAGAACCACCACCCUGGAAAAAAAAUUUUUGCAACCUUCUGCUGUCUCUUCUUUCUUUAGAUGUAUAGCAAGUGUGUUUACUGUUCCUUUUUCUCUUUCAUUGUGAACGAGUGACACCUUUAAGAAGAAUGGAGGUGUCCGAGGAGAAUUUUCCUUACACAAACCUGAGUGCCCUCGGAAGAUUUUCCUUUUUCUUGGGUAAUAGCCUAUUUGCAUUGAUUUCCCAGGAUGUACAGCACCAGACCCACUGAGGUCUCCUCCCUAAGACCCCAAACUUUACACCUUAUUAUUCUCCACUGCUCACCAUGGACUGAGGAAGGAGCUUCAAGUCAUGGAACCACCGUGGCAGCGGGAAUCUCAUUACUGUGGGGAAUUUUAAAUCUCUGUAGUCAUAAAUUAUAGUAUCUACGUACCAGGCACACCAGACUUGAUCAUCAGAUUUGGCCCUUUCUUUCAAAUCAGUGUUUUGGGAGAAUAUUUCCCGUAGGAACACAGAAAGAAAUCUAUAAAUAUAAAAUUGCCUUAGAGAUAUUCUUAAACCAUGACAAAUUAUCCAAGAUGGCUUUGGCUGCUAGGAGUCUUUUAUGGUUCCACGCAAAUUUUAGAAUGGUUUGUUCUCUUUCUAGAAAAAAUGCCAUUGGUAUUUUGAUAGGGGUUGGAUUGAAUCUGUAGAUUGCUUGGGGUAGUGUGGACAUUUUAGGAAUAGCCCAAUCUGUGAGCAGGGUAUAGCUUCCCAUCUAUUGGUGUCUUUUUCAGUGUCUCUUAUUUUUUUUUAAUAUAUUCAGUGUCUCUUAUUAAUAUCCUGUAGGUCUCAAUGUAGAAGGCUUUCACCUCCUUAGUUAAAUUUAUUCCUAAGUAUUUGAUUCUUUUUGAUGCAACUGUGAAUGGGAUAAUUUUCUUAAUGUCUCUUCCUGAGAGUUUGUUAUUAGCAUAUAGAAAAGCAACCGAUUUUUGUGCAUCGAUUUUGUAUCGUGCAGUUUUACUGAAUUCUUUUAUGAGCCUGUAAGUUUUUCAGGGGAGUCUAGGCUUUCGAAAUAUAAUAUUAUGUCGUCUGCAAAUAGUGAAAGUUUUAUUUCUUCGUUUCCAAUUUGGAUGCCUCUUACUUCUUUUUCUUGCCUAAUUGUUCUGGCUCAAACUUCUAAUACUGUGUUGAAUAAAGAUGGCAAGAGUGGGUAGGCUUGUCUUGCUCCAGAUCUUAGAGCAAAAGCCUUCAGCUCUUCAUCAUGGAGCACCAUGUGGCUGUGGCUUGUCCUAUGAGACCUUCAUUAUGUUGAGAAAUGUUCUUUCUGUGUCCACUCGUUGAGAGGUUUUUUAUCAUAAAUGGAUGGUCAAUUUUGUCAAAUGCUUUUUUUGCAUCUAUUGAGAGGUUCAUACGACUUUUACCCUUCCUUUUGUUAAUGUGGUGGAUCGCAUUGGCUAAUGUGCAAAUAGCGAGCCAUCCUUGCAUUCCUGGGGAAAAUCCCACUCGAUCGCAGUAUAUGGUCCUUUUAAUACAUCGUUGAAUUCAAUUUGUUCAUAUUCAAAAAAAAUGUUUUUUAACCUUUAUUUAUUUUUGGGAGACAGAGAGAGACAGAGCGUGAGCGACGGAGGGGCAGAAAGAGAAGGAGACACAGAAUCCGAAGCAGGCUCCAGGCUCUGAGCUGUCAGCGCAGAGCCCGAGGCGGGGCUCGAACCCGUGAACUGUGAGAUCAUGACCUGAACUGAAGUCGGACGCCUAACAGACUAAACCACCAGGGCGCCCCUUCACUUUAAAGGUCAUAAAGCCAGAGCUCAAGGGAAACAGGCACACCCUCCGGGAACAGGUGUGCCCUCCUCCUGCCUUACACCUUCAGCCUCUGACUUCUACCCACCCCACCCUGGCCUUAUUUACGCACAACCGCCUGAGCCACCCAGGGGCCCCAUCAAUUUGCUAAUGUCUUAUUGAGGAGUUUUGCAUAUAUUUUCAUCAGAGAUAGCGGCCUGUACAUUUCUAUUCUUGUGUUCUCUUCGUCUCGUUUUCGUAACAGGGUAAUGGUGGUCUGGUAAAAUUAGCUUAGAAAAGUUCCUUCUUCGUCUGGUUUUCAGCAGAGUUUUAGAAGGAUUGGUAUUAUUCUUGUUUGAACGUUUGGUAGAAUUCACCAGUGAAGCCAUCUAGUCCCGGAUUUUGUUGAGGUUUUUGAUUAAUGAUCCAGUCUCCUUCUAGUAAUUCAUCUCUUCAGAUAUUCUAUUGCAUCAUGAUUCAGUCAUUCAACAUUGUGUGUUUCUAGGAAUUCAUCCAUUCCUUCUAGGUUGGCCAAUUUCUUGGAGUGUAAUUGUUCAUAGUCGUCUCUUAUGAUCCUUUGUAUUUUUUGUGGCAUCAGUCAUAAUGUCUCUUCUUUCGUUUGAUUUUAUUUGAGUCCUCUCUCCAGUAAAUUUUUUUUUUUUUUGCCGAUUUUGUUUAUUUUUACCAAGAACCAAUUCUUAGCUUCAUUGGUCUUUUCUACAUGUUCAUUUUUUGCUUGUGCGGGAACUAUGUUUUUAAGUUUUUGAAAGUUAUACUUUAACAUUUGUGAAGUGCUUGGUAAACAUUAAUUGCGGCUCUUUCACACCCAGAAUAAAUACAGAAUGCAGUAUUCUUUGUGAUGCAAAUAUUUAUGGAAGGAAUAAAGUGAAAGAAUGUGGCUGACAACUAGCAAAAUUAAAAUCACUUAUUUUGUAUUUGUAUGGCAUUUAAUAAAAGAUGCUCAAAACCGUUUGGUGAAAGAAUAAAGGAAAAUGCUUGCGAUUCCA